rnacentral:rRNA from 1 species
UUGGAGGGCAAGUCUGGUGCCAGCAGCCGCGGUAAUUCCAGCUCCAAUAGCGUAUAUUAAAGUUGUUGCAGUUAAAAAGCUCGUAGUUGAAUUUCGGGAUCAAUUUAUCGGUCGUGCCUCUGGUAUGCACUGGUAUUAUUGAUUUCUACCUUCUGACGAACCAUGAUGUCAUUAAUUUGGUGUCAUGGGGAAUCAGGACUGUUACUUUGAAAAAAUUAGAGUGUUUAAAGCAAGCACACGCCUGAAUACAUUAGCAUGGAAUAAUGAAAUAGGACGUUUGACCCUAUUUUGUUGGUUUCUAGGAUCGACGUAAUGAUUAAUAGGGAUAGUUGGGGGCAUUAGUAUUCAAUUGUCAGAGGUGAAAUUCUUGGAUUUAUUGAAGACUAACUACUGCGAAAGCAUUUGCCAAGGAUGUUUUCAUUAAUCAAGAACGAAAGUUAGGGGAUCGAAGACGAUCAGAUACCGUCGUAGUCUUAACCAUAAACUAUGCCGACUAGGGAUCGGAUGAUGUUAAUUUUUUAAUGACUCAUUCGGCGCCUUACGGGAAAC